AUUGAACGCUGGCGGCAGGCCUAACACAUGCAAGUCGAGCGGGGACUUCGGUCCUAGCGGCGAACGGGUGAGUAAUGCUUGGGAAUCUGCCCAGUAGUGGGGGAUAACGUCCCGAAAGGGACGCUAAUACCGCAUACGUCCUACGGGAGAAAGAGGGGGAUCUUCGGACCUCUCGCUAUUGGAUGAGCCCAAGUCGGAUUAGCUAGUUGGUAGGGUAAUGUCCUACCAAGGCGACGAUCCGUAGCUGGUCUGAGAGGAUGAUCAGCCACACUGGAACUGAGACACGGUCCAGACUACUACGGGAGGCAGCAGUGGGGAAUAUUGGACAAUGGGCGAAAGCCUGAUCCAGCCAUGCCGCGUGUGUGAAGAAGGCCUUCGGGUUGUAAAGCACUUUAAGCGGGGAGGAAGGUUCGCGGCCUAAUACGUCGCGGAAUUGACGUUACCCGCAGAAUAAGCACCGGCUAACUCUGUG
rnacentral:rRNA from 1 species